GGAACAUGCCCGAGGCACAGAACGGGCUACCUAGCGGCUGCAUCCUAGGCUGAGUAUCUCGGGAAGAAAGGCUUACCUGGAGUCAAUGUUAGCCUUGUGUGGGAUGAGCAAGGGGGCCACCGGCCUGAUACGAAGCACUUCUCGGAUAGUGGCCUCCAGCAUGAGGAGGAUGAGACUGGCACUGCACAAGAAGAUGCGGCUGUCUCUGGAGCAGGGAGGAGCAGAGCUAGGACACAACGUUACCCAUAAGCAUGAACCACUUCCAACGCUUUCCCCACUCCAGGCAGACACUGGAGCCAUUAAGCAAUAACUCCCCAACCUUCCCCUCCAGAUCUGGAUGCUUCUAAACUACUUUCUGUCUAUGAUGAACCUGCUACUUGUCCUCAUUUUAGUUCAGUUGCUACUGCUGUCAGAAAGGCCGUGACCAAAGGCAACUUGAAGAGGAACGGAGUUAUUUGGUGCACACAUUUCAGGUCACGGUCACGGUCACGGUCACGGUCAGAGAAGCCAAGGCAGCAACCUGGAGGCAGCGACUGAAGCAGAGAUCAUGGAGCAGGGAUGCUUGCCGGCUUGCUCCUUUUGCCUUCCUACAUAACCCAUACCACUUAUCCAUGGGUGGUACACCUGAGUGAGCUGUGCCCUCCCACGAAAUGAUUAAUCAAGAAAAUGUUGCUACACACUUGCCUCCUGGCCAAUCUGAUGAGGCAAUUUCUUAGCUGGGGUUCCUUGUUUUCCAGAUAUGUCCAUGUUUGUGUCAAGUUGGCAAGAACCAACAAGCACAAUUGACCUCUUGACAACUUGACACACAAACAAACACAUCACUAUGUAAACAUAUUUUUUCCUUUCUUGCUCAUCCCCAAGAUCUCAUCACAAUAUCACCAAUUAAUAUAAAGCUGAUAUAACUUUAAAAGUUCCACAGUCUUUGAAAAAUUGACAUUAAAAUUCCACAGUGUCAGCUCAGGCUUGGUGGCACACAUCUUUAAUCCCAGCACUCAGGAGGUGGAGACCAGUGGAUUGCUAUGAGUUUCAAGCCAGCUUGGUUUGCACAGUGAGAGUUCUGGGGCAACCAAGGUUACACAAUGAGACUGUCUCAAAGGAGAAAAAAGAAAAAAAAAACCGAACUUUCUUUAAAUGUUUCUUUAAAAGACAAAUUCUCAUAAGUGUGAAAUCUGUAAAAUCAGACAUAAGUUAUAUACUUUCUUCUUACUCCAAGAGAGAAGAAACAGGGCAGUCAUAAUGAAAUCAAAUCAAACUCCAAGUCCAGAAGCGUAAAUACGUCUGACACCUGGCACUCACCAUAUUUUGGGCUCCAGGGAGUUCCAUUUCUCCAGCUCUGCCAUUUACAGCACACACAUCUCCUGUCUUACACUCAGGCCAGCUCCAUUCAACAGCUGCUGUUGUGCUUGGUGGUCAUGCCACGGUACUGGUAUCUCCACUAUGCUGGGGUCUCCACUGGAGCCGAGGCAGCACCAUCGCCAGCAGCCUCUUCCAGCCCUUCUUUAGGGCUGCUGCAUAGUGCCAAACCUUAGCUGUUCUCCCCAACUCCUCCAUGGCUUCAAAACCAGUACCAGCUAGGGAUCUUUUGCAUAUUAUCAAGUCUGGCUGUUGGCAACUUUGGCCUCUCUGGACCACAGCUUCUCUGUGCUGAACCUGAUGAGAUACUCCCAGAAGAUUUCACCUCAACAAUGCUGAUCUCUUUUUAAUUACAGCAAAGGUUUCACUUCAGUGAAACUACUCUCUCUCUCACUCUCUCUCUCUCUCUAAAAAGUUUGGGGUUUUAAAAAGAUGCAUUUAUUUUUAUUUUAUUAAUCUGAGUGUUUUACAGCAUAAGUGUAAGCACAGAAGGUAUGUAUUGCACUUCUGCCCACAGAAACCAGAAUAGAGUGUCAGACCCCAUGGACCUGGACUUACAGAUGGCUGUAAAUUGCUAUGUGGGUUCUGAGAAUUGAACCUAGUUCUCUGUUAGAACAGAGAGCAUUUUUAACUUUGGAGCCAUCUCUCCAACCCCAAGGAUCUCCUGUUAAUCCCAACUGAUUCUUUAGCUCCAGUUGACCAGACAUCACAUAUUCUUAAUUCAGAAUACCACACAAAUGGGUCCCCUAGAGUCUUUACUUCCAUCUGAAACUUCACAAGCCAGGCCUUCACCAACUGCAUUGCUCUCCUGCUGAACAGAACAUUGAAUUCUAAGCACUUACUAUCUUCUCUAGCCCAAUGUUCAACACUGUCACAAUCCUCCCAAAAGUACAGGGUCAAGACUGGGAAAUUCAUACCCCACUCCUAGUAACCAAUCUUGUCUUCGUUUGGCUUUUACCGUUGUGAUAAAGACCAUGACCAAAAUAAACUUGUGAAGGAAAGGCUUUAUCCAGUGUACAGAUCCCAGGUCACAGUCCACUGAGGGAAGCCAGGAUAAGAACCCGGAGAUAGGAAGUGAAGCAGAGGCUUAGAAGAGUGUUGCUUACUAUCUUACUCUUCAUGACUUACUCAACUUACUCUUGUUCGUUUUGUUUGUUUGUUUGUUUGUUUGUUUUUCAAAAGAGGAUUUCCCUGUGUAGCUUUGGCUGUCCUGGUACUCAUUUUGUAGACUAGGCUGGCCUCGAACUCAGAGAUGCACCUGUCUCUGCCUCUAGAGUGAUGGGAUUAAAGAUGUGUUUACGUUUGGCCACAGUAUUCUGCAUUUCUAUAGAAAAUGUUCAAUAACUUACUUUUCAAAACACAUGCUGUUUUUUUUUUCUUUAUAUAUGCCCUUUGAAGCAAUUACUCCAAUUCCGGGGACUUUUCUUGCAGAAGUCACAUAGUGUAAGUGCAACAUCAGUUAUAUAAUCUGUGUCUGCCCUUCGUCAGUGUAGUGGCUAUUCCUGGUUGUCAACUUGACUAUAUUUGGAAUGAACUGCAACUCAGAAUUGGAAGGCUCACCAGUGACCCUUAUCCUGGAGGCUAGGAGAUAGAAGUUUCUGAUCUGGAUCUUGGUAUGGAGAUCUUGAGGCAUAGUGGCUAUGGAUUCCAGAAGAUUAAGACAGGGAGAUCUUUGAGUUCAAGGUCAUCUGGGAUUAAAGGUGUGGUGGAACACACCUUUAAUCUGGGCUACACCUUCUGCUGGAGACCAUAUAAGGACAUUGGAAGAAGGGAGUCUUGCUCUUGCUCCUUCGCCUGCUUGCCGUGUGCACUGAGUAACUGCUAGAUCCUUGGACUUCCAUUCACAGCUACUACUGAACCAUUGUUGGGAAUUGGACUGCAGACUGUAAGUCAUCAAUAAAUUCCUUUACUAUAUAGAGACUAUCCAUAUUCUGUGACUGUAGAGAACCCUGAUUAAUACAAUCAGCAAUACACUUCCCACUCGAAGGAGCUGGAGUCUAGUGCAGCCAGAAUCAGUAGAAAGAAAUACUGUAUAUGCUUAUCUGAAAAUAUUUCCAACACACACACACACACACACACACCAUAAAAAUUGAGCCCUCCCCCAUCCCCUUGAGCCUACUUCUUCCCAUCUCUCCCUUUGUCAUAAUGUCUCUUUUGUCACUUUUCUCCCACACCUCCUUUGUCACUUUUCUCCGACAACUCCUACUUACUCUCUCUGCUUUCCUCCCCUCAGUUGGUAGAAAUACUCAAAAGCCCCUCCUCCCCAUUUGUGUUAAAUUGACUUGGACAAAUUAUAAGUCAAACAAUAUUUUCUAAGGAUAACAAUUGUGGACUUCAAACGCUUAACAUUAAGUUAGUUCCUUUAAAGGCAUUAGUUGUAUUCUGCAUCGGCGGUAUGAGAAAAGAAUCCAUCUAGAAACACGACCAGCUGAAAAUUUGAAAACCUGUUAGCCCAGUGUCCUCAUUGUGUAAAAACAAACAAACAAACAAACAAAAGUAGACUCAAAGAUUAAGCACUUUGCACAAACUCACUAUCAAUAAAGCUAGAAAUUGAAGGCAUUUUUUUUCUACUUUACUGGGUUCUUUCAUCUACCACCCUUCUCUAUCCCAGUCCCUUCUAAACCACAACAGUAGGUGGGAAAAGAAAGGCUAGAGGGGAAAGGGCAUAGACCUCUUUAGACUACUUCCUGCUGAUUAGGGGCACCGAGUUCCUUGGGGACAGUCUGAUCUUUGAUGUCAAGAUAUCCAGUUUCUUCGUCUGGUCUCCUUGCUCAUGAUCACUUGACAAGCCAUAGCAGUGGCUUUGGUCUUUCUUGGGGCUCUGGCAUUUAUACACCUUCUGAAGCAUCCCCAGGGAGCCAAACAUAAACUAACUUCAUCUAGCAAAAGUCACACCCCUCCUAGAGCACAAGACAAAUCAUGAUUAGUGGCUCUGGACAGUCUGAAGCAGCCCCAUAGCCCACACCUGGGAUUAAAACAAAAACAUAUUCAAAUAACAUUACUGGGUUUUUUAAAGAAAUCCAAAUUCCCACUAUGAGAAAUCAAAGCGUUUUCUCCCUAAAAUGAAGAUCUUAUCAAUGAUAUUUCCACUGACUUCCUGCUGACAAAAUGCCCAUGCUCUUCUCUUAUGCUCUGUGCUAUGGUCACUUGGCAAUGGUAAGACACCACAGCGAGUUGCCACAUUGGCUCUGAGGCCGCAGAGGGGCUUAGGUGUUAGUCAGGGCCCUCUGUGGAGAUGGGGGUGAGUAGGGAUGUCAGGCUUGAGGUUCUCACGCAGUGUCUGCUUAACAUUCACGAUGACAGGAUCACUCCAAACCCCACCUCAGGAAGCCACCACGCCUGUCACUGCUUCAGCUCCACAGAAGGCAGCUUAUGAGGGCUCGUGGGAACAAGGCUGAGAAAGGGAGGCUCUCUGUCCUUAUCUUUAGGGACUUUGGUCUUUGACUUCCUCUGUGUGAGUUUUAAUUCCAGUCAGCAGAUGCAACAGAGCAGAUCCCUGAAACUGGCUUAGCACCUCACGUCUCUGAACACCCCUCUCCUGUUCCCACCCCUCCAGCAUCUGGGCUGUGGGCCAGGGGCCUCCUCUCACUGGUAGCUGCCUCUCCUGUCUCCAUUAAAGAUGAAAAGGGUAUGGCGCUUUAGCAAUACAUGCUGCUGCCCAGAAAGAACAGGUACGUAAUACACGGUGAUGACUAACAGGGUUCAUCUCCGUGACUCCCUUCCCCACCUCUUGGGGAACUGUGCUGUGCUUCAUAGCGAAGGCACACACUUCCAUUCGGAGUCCAUGCUUUUCAUGUAAGCCUCCUGGAAAGCUCCCUGAGAGCCAGGCAGCUCCCAGGAAGUUCUGGGACUUCCAAGGUUAUUGAUUCAACUCGGACAUAACAUUCCUUAUGUCCUGUCAUUACUGAUUCCCCUUUACCAUGUCCUCAGAGUACUCAUAAAUGCUCACCGCUUCCAGACAGCACAAAAUACCAUCUCUUAUUUUAAAAGAAUCUGAAUUAUCUACUCAGCUGAUUGUAAAGUCAUUGAGAGUCCUAAAUGCCCCAGAAAUUAAUUGUCUUUAGUUUGUAGACUCUGCUAAUCAUUGCAUCUCUAAGUUGGAUCUAUUUUCUAGUGAUUACAUCAUGCACUUUUAACCAGAAAGGAAAAAACAAAAACAAAAAAAACAACAACAACAAAAAACAAGAACAAACACAUCGUUGGAGGACUAGUUGGACAUGAGUGGAAGGGAGGCAGAAGCUUGAAGUGUGAGCUUGCAUCCCUGGAGAGAGGUCCUCUCCCCACCGUCUGCAACAUACAGAUGGAGCGACUCAAAGGCUGAGCACAGCUCCUAGGUUUUCAGUGGCAUGUCAACUACUGCAUCCUGGUGCUAGAAUUCAGGAACUACCAUACCUGUAGCUGGGACCUGAUGCCCCAUCUUGGGCAUGUACACUGAAAGAUUCCAUACUCAGAAUCAAGUUGUGGGACAGUCCUGACCUGAACUGAUGGGUGGAAACACAGCCUCUUCCAAGUCUCUUUAGAAAGAGAGAGAGAGAGGGAGAGAGAGAGAGAGAGAGAGAGAGAGAGAGAGAGAGAGCCGAGAGAGGCUGAGAGAGGCUGAGAGGGUGCCCUGAGGUCGGUCAGGUGGAUGGUGGGCUUUCUUCCUUGUGGCACAACUGGUUUUAAGAUUUUUUAACUCGUAGGAAAACAGCUCACAGAGCUGAUGUUUUGAAGAGUCUCUCUCUUUGGUGUGUGCUUUCUGGUGGAUGCAAAGGCUAGAGUGCCAGCUGACGGUUUUUACUUCAUUCCUCAUUCAUUGUGUGCUUUUCUUUUUGGCCUUUCAGCCCACCACACUAAUGGAUCUGCUGUUAAUAAGGUCAGCAGUGACCUCCUGGUUGCCAAGUUCUUUGGCUCUCCUUCAGAGCUUUCGUAAAACACUCCACUGAGAUCACCCACUGUUUGCUUUGCCCCUGCCCUCUCCUGUGACACGCUGUACCAUGUUCUUUGGAUUCUUUUUGAUCUUCUUCUCUGCCCCACAGCUGUCUAAUGUAUGUCAAGUUUCCUUAGUUUGGCCUCUGGCCCUUCUCCAUCAGCAUCCUCUUUGGAUGAUCUUACCCCAUCAAGGUCUUAACCCUCACCAAUAUUCGACACUUAUCAGAUAGGAGCUGCUACUGACCUUCACCAGAUUGGAGAUCCUUAAACUAGAGAUGUCAGCUGUUGGCUCUCAACAUUCAUCUUUGCCAAUAGCUUCUGCUCGUGUGCCCUGUUGGCCUUACUGAAGCAGGAGAAUUUAGCCUGAGGAGAAUCAGUCCUCAGAAUAGGGAAGGAGGGGACGUGAGAUACAGCGAAGCAGGUAAAGGCGUCUGCUGCAAACCUUGAUAGCCUGAGCUCAAUCCCAGAACCUUGAAGAGACUGACUCUUGAAAACUGUCCUCUGACAGGUGCCAUGAUACAUGUAUGUACACACACACACACAUUAAAUAUAUAAGUAUAGCAAAUAGUAAGGCUAUUCAAAUUUUCUGUUUUAAGAGCUUGACUUUAGACUGUCCUUAGAGAUGUAGGCAGUUGUCUCAGAUGCUGAUAGACACAUGAAAUAGAAACUUAUUUUCCAUUAAAACCAAAAGCAGAUUUAAAAAUUA